GUGGGGAAUAUUGGACAAUGGGCGAAAGCCUGAUCCAGCCAUGCCGCGUGUGUGAAGAAGGUCUUCGGAUUGUAAAGCACUUUAAGUUGGGAGGAAGGGCAGUCAGCGAAUACCUGGUUGUCUUGACGUUACCGACAGAAUAAGCACCGGCUAACUCUGUGCCAGCAGCCGCGGUAAUACAGAGGGUGCAAGCGUUAAUCGGAAUUACUGGGCGUAAAGCGCGCGUAGGCGGUUUGUCAAGUCGAAUGUGAAAUCCCCGGGCUCAACCUGGGAACUGCAUCCGAAACUGGCAAGCUAGAGUAUGGUAGAGGGUGGUGGAAUUUCCUGUGUAGCGGUGAAAUGCGUAGAUAUAGGAAGGAACAUCAGUGGCGAAGGCGACCACCUGGACCAAUACUGACGCUGAGGUGCGAAAGCGUGGGGAGCAAACAGGAUUAGAAACCCCAGUAGUCC
rnacentral:rRNA from 1 species